AUUGAACGCUGGCGGCAUGCUUUACACAUGCAAGUCGAGCGGCAGCGCGGGGGCAACCCUGGCGGCGAGCGGCGAACGGGUGAGUAAUGCAUCGGAACGUAUCCUCGAGUGGGGGAUAACCCAGCGAAAGUUGGGCUAAUACCGCAUGAGCUCUGAGGAGGAAAGCGGGGGACCUGCGAGGGCCUCGCGCUGGAGGAGCGGCCGAUGUCCGAUUAGCUAGUUGGUGGGGUAAAGGCUUACCAAGGCGACGAUCGGUAGCUGGUCUGAGAGGAUGAUCAGCCACACUGGAACUGAGACACGGCCCAGACUCCUACGGGAGGCAGCAGUGGGGAAUUUUGGACAAUGGGGGCAACCCUGAUCCAGCCAUGCCGCGUGAGUGAAGAAGGCCUUCGGGUUGUAAAGCUCUUUCGGACGGAACGAAAUGGGCGGGACUAAUACUCCUGUCUGAUGACGGUACCGUAAGAAGAAGCACCGGCUAACUACGUG
rnacentral:rRNA from 1 species